rnacentral:lncRNA from 10 species
GGUGCUGACGGCCUGAAAGACUGACAGACUGACAGCCCCGAAACUUCGCGGGGAGGAGAGGGAUAGACGCGCGGGGAGUCGAAGCCGGGAAACGGCGCCUGCAAGGGAGGAGGGACCGAGGGAGCGGGCGGAGAGCCCCGGCGCACCGGGCUGGGGGAGGCAGGGGCAGGGGGUUUCAGGAGUGGGGUCCCAGGAGGGAGCACCGUGGGCUUAGGUGGGCAGGUGAUGGUCCUAAGGCUCCGAGCCUGGAGUAGGUGUGGAAGUGGGAGCUCAGGACGGGGGAGGGGAGGGGAGGGGAGGGGAGGGUGAUGGGAGAGGGGGUGGAGGAGGGCGAGGAGGCUGGGGAGGACAGGCACUCGGGCUGCGGGGAAGGGUGCCAAGGGAGGGUGCUCGCGGCCGCGGAGGGAGGAGCCGGGGAAAGGUGGAGCGCGAACGGGUGGGGGGGUGGCGGGGAGGAGUUGGGGGAACGAGGAGGGGCCGUGUCGGGGGGGAGCCAGCGAGUCGUGCGCUGCCGUCUCUAAGUCGCCGGUGCCAGCCGGGUGUGCAGCGCCGCGCUCCCGCGGGAGGACGGCCCGGGGGGUCGGUCUGGGAAACUCCGGCCCCGCCCCCAUUCUCCACCCGGAUUCCACCCCGAUCCACCCAGACCCGCAGCCCCUCGCCUGGAGUCCCGAGGACCCGAUUCGAAACCAGCCGCGGGAGCCGUGGGGGCAGGCGGGAGAGAGGGCUGGGCCCCUGUGCUUGCGAGAACGGGUCCUUCGAAGUAGAAACUGGGGAGAGGACUUUAAGCCAGGUCCCCUGGGAGAAGGCCGGGCCAGGUCGGGAGCUCCAGGGGGCAAGGCUGGGACGGGGCUGGGCGGAGAUUCUGAGGGCGGGGUCCGGGGGAGGGUCUGGGAGGGGGCUGCAGAGAGGGGAGGGCUCUAUGGGCGGGAGACGAUUGCUGGGGGGCCUGCUGGCCCGGACACCACCUGGAGUUAGAUGUGGAGGGCAGCCCUCAGCCCUCAGCCCUCAGCCCCAGCUCCUCAGGGGACUCCACUCGCCCUCCCUGCCCAGGUUACGAGGUUUCUCCUUGGCCUUGUUCCCGCUGCGCCCACUCCUGAAAGCUCCGGAGAUGCUGAAGUCUGGACUGUUAGUUCCCGGUCUCCUCUCCAUGAACUUUCUCCAAACCCCUGGGUUCCAGCUUCCUCCCUUCUGCCCCUUUACGGGAAAGGGUGACUGCAACUCGGGUCUCUUCCCAAUCCCAGUGCUGCCUGAUCAGCCCCGGUUUGAAUCCAGAGCUGAGUGAGGCUGGGAAGGGGAGGGUGUGAAUGGCCCUUGAGCUCCUGCUACCACAGCCCACCACAAGGAUGAGUGCCUGGAAGAGCGCCCAUCACUCGGGCUCAGCUGUGAAGGCUCCUCUGCCUCCAGGAUGAAGGGAGCACCUGGAGUAGCAUGUGUCACUGUGCGUGCUGGGGUGUGGCCGAGCACCUGUGCCGGUGUUGUGAGACUUACAGUGAGAGUGUGCAUGUGUGUAAAACAGGAAAGGGGGGUGUCUGGGUGUGCGUGUGGCUCUUUCUGAGGACUCCAGAGCAGGAGUUGAUCCCAGUCAUCCGUGACCCCCUGAGAGACUCACUCUGGGCCCUUUUUUGGCCCUGGGACCAAUGGUGAACCCAGGAGAAGGAGAGCCCGGCCCAGCUCUGGUUAACAGCAGCCCCCUUCCUCCCCUAGGUGGAAUGACUCUACAGGAUACUCGGAGGGAUAUCAGGUUUAGGAGACCGAGGGGUGUGGAGUCGGAGCCAGGCUGCAUUCCAGCCCGGGUGUCCGGGUGUGCUCAGAGCUCUGCUGGGACCAGGGUGGACCCCGGAUUCCCCUGUGGAGCCUGUCACUGCCCCUCCCAGCCGGAUUCUCGGAUUAUUUCAUCCGGCUUAGCUCUGCCCCAGGGCUGGGGGAGCUGGCUCCCCCGCCCACUCCUUCCAGAGGGUCCUCUCAUUCCUCAGCAUAGGCUCCCCAGUUCUAGACCCCAGAGACUCUAGGAGACCCUCGAAGAAGGAGACAGGGUGGGCCCAACCAGCCACACAUAAUCAUCCCCAGCAAGAAACUGGACCCUGGAGAAAAGGGUACAUGUUGCCCACGCAUCUCCACACACUCAGGAACCCCAGCUACCCUAGAAGUGCUCCCACUCACUGCCCCCGACUCCUCAGUUUGGGCAAGAGAGGGGCGGGAGGCAGGGGAGCAUCAUCCAGGCAGAAGUUCAAGGCUGGAAGACCCCAUCAGUCGUUUAGCCCAGGAGCUCUUAACCUUUUCAUGGGGUCAUGGCCCUCUUGAGAAUCUAAUAAAAGUAUAGAACUGUCUUCAGAAAAAUGUGCACAUACAAUUUCAAAGAAUUACUGGAGUCUGAGACCUAUUUGUGCAUCCCUGGGAAGUCCCUGAAAUUUUUACUGGGAAGGAAAUUGAGGCCCAGAAAUGGAGGGUGGCUUGCCCAGAGCCCCAUGUUAAUUUGUGGUAGUGCCUGAGAGUGUGAAAAUACACACACACACACACACACACACACACACACACACACACACACACAAAGGGAAACAGAUGCACUGGAAGGGGACAGGAAGGAGACUGUUUCCAGGGAGAGCUGGCCUCUGAGGGGCUGGUGUGGCAGGUCCAAUCCGGUUGUGGGCAGCUGGUGCCCUGGGGCAUGAGACUGGAAUAAAGCCCCCCACAGCCCCCAGAACUGGCCACUGGGCUGCGGGGAGGCUGCGUGGGGCAGGAGAGAGCACCGCUGGCCUCUCUGCCCUCUCUGCAGCAUUGCCUCUCUUGAGCCCAAGCCUCACGUUCCCCAAAGGUGCCCUGGGGGUGAGGGCACC